GAAGCGGCAACAGCUCAAAUUUGAAAUCUGGCGCAAGCCCGAGUUGUAAUUUGUAGAGGAUGCUUCGAGGCAGCGGCCGUUCUAAGUUCCUUGGAACAGGACGUCAUAGAGGGUGAGAAUCCCGUAUGUGACCGGCCCGCACCUCAUACGUAGCUCCUUCGACGAGUCGAGUUGUUUGGGAAUGCAGCUCUAAAUGGGAGGUAAAUUUCUUCUAAAGCUAAAUACCGGCUGGAGACCGAUAGCGCACAAGUAGAGUGAUCGAAAGAUGAAAAGCACUUUGGAAAGAGAGUUAAAAAGCACGUGAAAUUGUUGAAAGGGAAGCGCCUACAACCAGACUUCGCGGCAGUGUUCCGCCGGUCUUCUGACCGGUUCAUUCUCUGUCGCGAGGCCAUCAUCGUCUGGGGCCGCCGGAUAAGACUGGAGGAAUGUAGCUCCCUUCGGGGUGUGUUAUAGCUUCCAGUGAUGCGGCGCGUCUCGGGCGAGGUCCGCGCUUCGGCAAGGAUGAUGGCGUAAUGGUUGUCGGCGGCCCGUCUUGAAACACGGACCAAGGAGUCUAACAUCUAUGCGAGUGUUCGGGUGUCAAACCCCUACGCGUAAUGAAAGUGAACGGAGGUGGGAACUUUUUGUGCACCAUCGACCGAUCCUGAUGUCCUCGGAUGGAUUUGAGUAAGAGCAUAGCUGUUGGGACCCGAAAGAUGGUGAACUAUGCCUGAAUAGGGUGAAGCCAGAGGAAACUCUGGUGGA
rnacentral:rRNA from 2 species